AUUGAACGCUGGCGGCAUGCCUUACACAUGCAAGUCGAACGGCAGCACGGGUGCUUGCACCUGGUGGCGAGUGGCGAACGGGUGAGUAAUACAUCGGAACAUGUCCUGUAGUGGGGGAUAGCCCGGCGAAAGCCGGAUUAAUACCGCAUACGAUCCACGGAUGAAAGCGGGGGACCUUCGGGCCUCGCGCUAUAGGGUUGGCCGAUGGCUGAUUAGCUAGUUGGUGGGGUAAAGGCCUACCAAGGCGACGAUCAGUAGCUGGUCUGAGGGGACGACCAGCCACACUGGGACUGAGACACGGCCCAGACUCCUACGGGAGGCAGCAGUGGGGAAUUUUGGACAAUGGGCGAAAGCCUGAUCCAGCAAUGCCGCGUGUGUGAAGAAGGCCUUCGGGUUGUAAAGCACUUUUGUCCGGAAAGAAAUCCUUGACUCUAAUACAGUCGGGGGAUGACGGUACCGGAAGAAUAAGCACCGGCUAACUACGUG
rnacentral:rRNA from 1 species